GUCUGACCUGCCUUGUUCCAAUUCUGAGGUCAGCCUGCCGGGUGGUACUACAACAAGUACUAAUUAGAAAAGCCCUUUCCACCUUCUCCGCCAUCUUUCCCGCAUCCUGGAGCAGUUCAUCACAGAACUGCAGCAGGGCUCCCAGCCAGGAGGAAAUUGAGGACAUUUUCCUUAGAAUUAUGUGCUGUUCACGUUUUUCUAGUUCCUACCCUGGGAAGGAUGGUUCGGUUAGCUUUAUGAGGGGUUUUUCAAAUUCAGCUAUUAUUUCUGCAGCAGCCACCGACUGAUGUCUGUCAAGGGCUGAACAGGCUGCCGUCUGAUCUCACCACUCCCCACGUUCUGCAUGAGGAAGCCUUGCCACGCUGAAAUGCCCCACACCGUGCCCUGAAUCAAACCUGUCCCUCUCGGCAAGCGAUGCCGAAUAACAAUUAGAAGCAGAAGGAAAGAAGGCUUUCAGCUGAGAAGUUCUACUGGCAGUAAAAUGGAGAACAGAGAAGGAGCUCUUAAAAAAUUUUGAGAUAAUUGCCUGAGUAAAUAUGAAAAGCAACAUUUAAUAUUUAUCUAACUUUCUCUGCAGGCUGAGAAGGCAAGACAGGUCUUCCGAGCACAAUAUACAAUAAAAGUAAAGCAGGAUAAAAGAAGGAUCCGGCUGACCGAGGCAAUGUUGCUUUUCCAUGUCUAAGAAUACGGAACUGGGGAUUUUCAGUCAAGUUAUGGAUUGUUAGGGUCCUAGAGAACAGAGAAUAGAAAGAGAGAAUAUGGCAUGCAGAUAGCUCAGCGAUAUCCAUCCAGGCUGAUGCAGAUUUUCAGUUGGGAGAAGCAGUUUUAUUGACUAAGUGUUACAGCGCCCUUUCCAAUGUUUUCCCAGGAGCAAGCAGGAUGAGUUGGCUUAUAUUAUAGCCCAUGAGGCGGAGCACAGCCGCUCAAAUGAUGGUGAGCCAUAAACAGAGGCCACAGCUGUUCUCCAGGCUAACUGAAGGAUUGCCUCAUCAGAGAAAGUAUCACAUAACUUUGUAGCACCUGGGCAAUCUUGUUAGUGUAUGUAUCAGCUUUGAAAAUCAAAGCUGAUU
rnacentral:lncRNA from 1 species